rnacentral:rRNA from 1 species
CCUACGGGAGGCAGCAGUAGGGAAUAUUGCUCAAUGGGGGAAACCCUGAAGCAGCAACGCCGCGUGGGGGAUGAAGGUUUUCGGAUUGUAAACUCCUUUUGUUAGAGAAGAUAAUGACGGUAUCUAACGAAUAAGCAACGGCUAACUCCGUGCCAGCAGCCGCGGUAAUACGGAGGGUGCAAGCGUUACUCGGAAUGACUGGGCGUAAAGAGCGCGUAGGCGGGAUAGCAAGUCAGAUGUGAAAUCCUAUGGCUUAACCAUAGAACUGCAUUUGAAACUGUUAUUCUAGAGUAUGGGAGAGGUAGGUGGAAUUCUAGGUGUAGGGGUAAAAUCCGUAGAGAUCAAGAGGAAUACUCAUUGCGAAGGCGACCUGCUAGAACAUAACUGACGCUGAUGCGCGAAAGCGUGGGUAGCAAACAGGAUUAGAUACCCCUGUAGUC